GAGCUUCAGCAGCACAUAUACUAAAACUGAAAUGAUACAGAGAAGAUUAGCAUGGCCCCUGGGCAAGGAUGACACACAAAUUCAUGAAAUGUUCCAUAAAAAA
rnacentral:snRNA from 1 species